rnacentral:rRNA from 1 species
CCUACGGGUGGCUGCAGUCGAGAAUCUUCGGCAAUGGACGCAAGUCUGACCGAGCGACGCCGCGUGCGGGAUGAAGGCCUUCGGGUUGUAAACCGCUGUCAGUGGGGAGGCCUAUCCGCAGAGGAAGUGAGGGCUAAGCUCGUGCCAGCAGCCGCGGUAAGACGAGCCUCACAAACGUUAUUCGGAAUUACUGGGCUUAAAGGGUGCGUAGGCGGUGCGGAAAGUUGGGUGUGAAAUCCCUCGGCUUAACCGAGGAAUUGCGCUCAAAACUACCGUGCUCGAGGGAGAUAGAGGAAUGCGGAACUUACGGUGGAGCGGUGAAAUGCGUUGAUAUCGUAGGGAACACCGGUGGCGAAAGCGGCAUUCUGGUCCUUCUGACGCUGAUGCACGAAAGCUAGGGUAGCAAACGGGAUUAGAUACCCUUGUAGUC